rnacentral:lncRNA from 1 species
GGAGGAAGGGAAAAGAAUACAAGAAAAAAGGAAAAUGCAGCUUUUGCAAAUGGGAAGGAGAUCUAGAGUUGGGAGGAACAGGAAGGGAGAAGGGGAAGAGGGAAUAAAAAAAGAUUCAUUGAAGAAUUAUUAAAAGUAAUUUCAGAAAGAGAGAAAGAAAGAACUGGUCUCCAGAAUGAAUUAGAUUCUUUGAAGGAUGCUGUUGAACAUCAGAGGAAGAAAAACAAUGACCUCCGGGAGAAAAACUGGGAAGCAAUGGAAGCACUGGCAUCAACAGAAAAAAUGCUGCAGGACAAAGUGAACAAGACUUCCAAGGAAAGACAAUAUGUGGAAGCUGUUGAGUUGGAGGCUAAAGAAGUUCUUUUUUUUUUUUUUUUUUGUACCUUGCUCCUUCUAACUUUUGGUCCCCUUCCAUUUGCCAAGCUCUAGUUCCACUUUUUUUUUUUUGUACCGAGGAUCAAACUCAGGUCUUUGUGUUUGCGAGGCAGGCGGCAGAACCACUGAGCUAAAUCCCCGGCCCAGCUAAAGAAGUUCUUAAAAAAUUAUUUCCAAAGGUGUCUAUCCCUUCUAAUUAGAGUUACAGUGAAUGGUUGCAUGGAUUUGAAAAGAAAGCAAAAGAGUGUAUAGCUGGAACUUCAGGUUCAGAAGAAGUUAAGGUUUUAGAGUAUAAGUUGAAAGAAGCUGAUGAAACACACACACUAUUACAGCUGGAGUGUGAUAUGUAUAAAUCAGUUCUUGCAGAAACACUGAGAAGAGAGCAAGAGCAUUUGGAAAUGAAACUAGAGAAGGCAGAAAUUGAACGGUCUACUUAUGUUACAGAAGUGAGAGAGCUGAAAGAUCUGUUGACUGAAUUGCAGAAAAAACUUGAUGAUUCAUAUUCUGAAGCAGUAAGACAGAAUGAAGAGCUAAAUUUGUUGAAGACAUAGUUAAAUAAAACACUCAAGAAAAUUAAAACUGAACAAAGUGAAAGACAGAAGGUAGCUGGUGAUUUGGAUAAGGCACAACAGUUUCUGGAUCUUAUCCAGUCAAAAAUAGUACAAGCUUCUGGAGAUACUACUGUUAUUGAGAAUAGUGAUGUUUCCCCAGAAAUGGAGUCUUCAGAAAAGGAGACGAUGUCUGUAAGUCUAAAUCAGACUAUAGCACAGUUAUAGCAGUUGCUUCAGGCUGUAAACAGCUCACAAAGGAGAAAUAACACUACCAGGUUUGGAGUGAAGUAAUUGGGAAAUUUCAGUUGAGGACAGCAGAAGGCAUUGUAUUAUAUUUUGCCAAAUUAAAGCCUUAUUUAUGUUUUUACCCUUUCUACUUUGUCAGAAACACUGAACAGAGUUUUGUCUUUUCUAAUCCUUGUUAGACUACUGAUUUAAAGAGAAAAAUUUAAAAAGAAACCAACUCUGUAGACACCUUCAGAAUUUAGUUUUAUAAUAAAAACUGUUUGAAUAAUUAGACCUUUACAUUCCUGAAGAUAAACUUGUAAUAUUUUACCUUGAUCAAUUCAAUUGUUCAGAAGAUCAAAGUGGUAAAGACAAUGUAAAAUUUAACAUUUUAAUACUGAUGUUGUACACUGUUUUACUUAACACUUUGGGGGAGUAACUGCCUCUGACAUCAACUCAAGACACUUUUGUUGCUAAUGUAAUCAGUUUUUGUAAUGGCGGUCAGCAAAUAAAGGGAUGCUUAUUAUUCAAACUUGAAAAAAAAAGA